rnacentral:rRNA from 1 species
ACGCCUUAUACAUGCAAGUCGAACGGAGUAGCAAUACUCAGUGGCAGACGGGUGAGUAACAUGUAGGUAUCUUCCCUUUGGUGAGGAAUAACACGAGGAAACUUGUGCUAAUACCUCAUAAGUCUUUACGGAGAAAGCUUUAUGCGCCAUUGGAUGAGCCUGCACUUGAUUAGUUUGUUGGUGGGGUAAUGGCCUACCAAGACUUUGAUCAAUAGCUGAUUUGAGAGGAUGAUCAGCCACAUUGGGACUGAGACACGGCCCAAACUCCUACGGGAGGCAGCAGUAGGGAAUCUUGCACAAUGGAGGAAACUCUGAUGCAGCGAUGCCGCGUGAGUGAAGAAGGCCCUUGGGUUGUAAAGCUCUUUCGUCGGGGAAGAAAAUGACUGUACCCGAAUAAGAAGGUCCGGCUAACUUCGUGCCAGCAGCCGCGGUAAUACGAAGGGACCUAGCGUAGUUCGGAAUUACUGGGCUUAAAGAGUUCGUAGGUGGUUAAAAAAGUUGGUGGUGAAAUCCCAGAGCUUAACUCUGGAACUGCCAUCAAAACUUUUUAGCUAGAGUAUGAUAGAGGAAAGCAGAAUUUCUAGUGUAGAGGUGAAAUUCGUAGAUAUUAGAAAGAAUACCAAUUGCGAAGGCAGCUUUCUGGAUCAUUACUGACGCUGAGGAACGAAAGCAUGGGUAGCGAAGAGGAUUAGAUACCCUCGUAGUCCAUGCCGUAAACGAUGUGUGUUAGACGUUGGAAAUUUAUUUUCAGUGUCGCAGCGAAAGCAAUAAACACACCGCCUGGGGAGUACGAC